rnacentral:rRNA from 1 species
ACUCAAAUGAAUUGACGGGGACUUGCACAAGCGGUGGAUUAUGUGGUUUAAUUCGUCGGUACACGAAGAACCUUACCAAGACUAGACAUCCUAACGAAAACUCUAAGAAACUAGAGCCCUGCGCAAGCACGGUAGGACAGGUGAUGCAUGGCCGUCGUCAGUUCGUGGUUUGAACUGUUCCCUUAAGUGGGGUAACGAACGCAACCCUUAUCUCGUGUUACAAGUGUCACGAGAGACUGCCCAGCCCAAAGAUCGGAAUAUCUAUACAGAUAUUGUUAUCUUCGGGCUGGGAGGAAGGUGGGGAUGACGCCAGGUCAGCAUGUCCCUUUGACGUCUUGGGCUACACACAUAAUACAAUGGGAGUUACAACGGGUCGCGACGCCGCAAGGCUGAGCUAAUCCUAAAAAAGCUCCCUCAGUUCGGAUUGGAGGCUGCAACUCGCCUCCAUGAAGCCGGAAUCGCUAGUAAUCGCGGGUCAGCCAAACCGCGGUGAAUACGUUCUCAAGUCUUGUACACACCGCCCGU